AAGGUGGUUCUAUAUUCACGUGGAUGAAAACACAGAGCGGUACCUGAGUUUCCCCUCAGAGGAGUUAUCCCAGUUUGCAUCCCAACCAAGAACAUACAGAGGUCUCUCCAAAGCCUGUGCGUUGUCCCCAAUCUUAAUUUUUUCCCGGUGUGACAGGGACUUACGGGGACGUAAGACCGUGGGCCUCAACGCAAAGGACAAAGUUAGUGUCUUUAAUCUGCGUUGGGGGAAUUCUCCAUCCCGCACUGGCUGAGCCCAGAGAAGACUGGAAAACGGAAAAAGAGGACUCUAGGAAAUUCCCAAUAGGGAACAAUGCGUCUGCUUCAGAGUGUCAACGUGAAAAGCUGCCAUCAGCAAGGAGAAUCUUCCUAAAACAGGCACAAAUGGUGGCUUCAUGGUUAAAGUAAGAGUGGAUAAGAAGGGCCGAAGAAGCUGUCGAGGCUCUCUUGAAGACGGCCGAUGUGCCAACGAUACGUCAACAUCAAAAAUCCAUCCACCUGCGUCCUCCACGAGUGGAGUCAUCUAAGAGAUCUCACCAUCAUAAGGUACCUCUAUAUUUAUGCCCUUAAGAACGGGCACAGUCUAUGAAGGAGAGCUUUGCUUUGCAAAGGUAAUGUUUUGCUAGGUGCCGUCUUCACAAUGUCUUAAUGCAUCAGGUCAGCAGUAAUGAGACAGGAUGAUACGAGGGCAGCAUCUUAAUGAAUGACUGCAGCCUAAUCUGGUAUUUGCAGAAGUGCCUUUUUCUCAGGUGUGGAACCCGGGUUAACCCUCGCUCUUCCUGUCCCUCCACCACACUUUCCGACACUCAGGAAGCUCUCCAGUAGGAUACGUGGCAAUUAUGAGGAGCUGAUGGAAACUUUAGAAGGCUUAGGGUGUGGGGCAUCUUUUCCAAGGAAAGAUUGAAAGCAAGACCGUUAAUGUCAGUAAACACUCUUCUUGCUGUGAGCACCUCAUUUUCUCCUCAAAAAUUGCCAACCAAUCUCUGUAAUAAAUGACAUUUAAUUUUCAGAUCCUCCACCAAUGCAUACCAGCCUACAUUAGCUUCAUCACAUCCUCCUCUGGAUCAUCCAUUAUUUUGGAGAAUCCAUAUUUGUGGAGGAACCUUCAGUGCCUAUCAGGAAGAGCAAGACGCCUGUUUGAAAAGGCAACAUGCGGAGUUCCCNNNNNNNNCAUCCAUGAGGACGCCGUUUUGAUCCCUGGCCUCACACAGUGGGUUAAGGAUCCAGGGCUGCUGUGAGCCGUGGUGUAGGUCUCAGACGUGGCUCAGAUCUUGCAUUGCUGUGGCUGUGGCACAGGCCAGCGGCGACACUUCCAAUUCAACCCCUAGCUUGAGAACCUCCUUAUGCCGCAGGUGUGGCUCUGUCCUGCUUUACACCAGAGUGGACUAUAUCCAGUCUCUUGGGAUAGACCAUGAUGGAAGAUAAUAUAAGAAAAGGAAUAUAUAUAUACACGUGUGUAUAUAUAUGCCCAGUCAUACAUACAUAUACACACACAUAUAUAUACAUAUAUAUGUCAUAUAUAUGUAUGACUGGGCCCCUAUGCUAUACAGCAGAAAUAGACUCAACCCUGGCAACUAUACUCCAAUAAAAAUAAAAAUUUUUUAAAUUGUUCAGUGAUCAAAAAAUUGGGACAUCCUGGAGUCAACCCAUUUGAAAGAGUUUUAGGGUUCUGUAUUUGUUUUAUUUGUUAUGUUCUUAAACGUGUGAAUUCCUAGAAUACUUGUCAUACUUGUUUCCAUCUCCAGGGGGCUACGUGAUAUGCAUCAAUUCACAAGUUUGUUGGAGGGCAGAACCCUGAUUUUCUUGACUCACUCAACACCUAUUAGAAAAGCUCGUGAGCCUGUCCCUCUAAGGACCUGGGAAUCAAUGCAUUAUUUGUUUAAUGCCCUGAUGGUAAACACCACGGGAUGGCUAAUGGAAGGAGCCACUGGCCAUCUCUCAGGCGAGAGCUGUGGACUGCACAGUAAGAACACAGUGGGGAAAGGUACACAGUGGUAGAGAAACGGAAAGAGGGUAUGCUCACAGUCUGCAAGUAGCCAUGAGGGAAGCCUGACAACUCUGCUUGGGUUUUCGGAAGACCCGAAGCGUUUUUUUCUUUUUUUAAAUUGAAGUAUAGUUGAUUUACAAUGUUAAGUCAAUUUCUGCUCUACAGCAAAGUAAUUUAGAUACACACACACACACACACACACACACAUUAUUUUGUAUAAACUUUUCCAUUAUGAUUUGUUAAAUAGGACUUUGUCAUUUUUUUCAUCCUGUAGAGAAUAGUUUCUGUCUGCGGACCCCAAACUCCCAAUCCAUCCCUCCCCUGUCCCCUCCCCCUUGGCAACCGUAAGUCUGUUCUCUAUGUCUGUGCAUCUGUCACAUAGGUAAGUUCAUUUGUGCCGCCUUUUAAAAUGAUAUCAUAUGAUAUGUGUAUUUCUCUGUCUGACUUCACUUGGUAUGACAAUCUCUGAUUCCCUCAUGUUGCUGCAAAUGUCACUGUUCCUUUUUUAUGGCUGAGUAGUAUUCCAAUGUAUAUAUGGACCACAUCUUCUUUAUCCAUUCCUCUGUUGAUGAACAUUUAGGUUGUUUCCAUGGCUUGGCUAUUGUGAAUAGUGCUACAAUGAACAUAGGGGUGCAUGUACCUUUUUGAAUUAUAGUUUUGUCUGAAUAUAUGCCCAGGAAUGGGAUGGUUGGGUCAUGUGGUCAUUUUAUACUUAGUUUUCUGAGGUGCCUCCAUAGUGUUUUCCAUCGUGGUUGCACCAGUUUACAUUCUCACCGACAGUGUAGGAGGGUUCCCUUUUCUCCACACCCUCUCUAGCAUUUGUUAUUUAUAGACUUACUAAUGAUGGCCAUCCUAACUGGUGUGAAGUGGUACCCCAUUGUAGUUUUUACUUGCAUUUCUUUAAUCAUUUACCACGAUGAGCAUCUUUUCACAUGCCUGUUGGCCAUCUGUAUGUCUUAUUUGGAGAAAUGGAAAGACCUGAGAUUUUUAAGAUUGAUCUGGGCAGUAAUGUUAAGAAAUAAACUUUUCUUUUUUUUUUUUGUCUUUUCUAGGACUGCACCUGUGGCAUAUGGAUGUUCCCAGGCUAGGAGUCCAAUCAGAGCUGUAGCUGCAAGUCUACGUCACAGCCAUAGCCAUGUGGGAUCCAAGCCGCGUCUGCAACCUACACCACAGCUCACAGCAACGCUAGAUCCUUAACCCACUGAUUGAGGCCAGGGAUUGCACCCGCAACCUCACGUUCCUAGUUGGAUUCUUUAACCACUGAACCAUGACGGGAACUCCCAAGAAAGAAACUCUUCAAAAGACAAAGGGAUUGACGUUGCCUCUUGCAUUUUACACUUUGGCUUUCUCCAGUCCCGGCUGCCUGGCACACGCUGGGAAGCAUAUAUUUCCUUCCAAGGGGGAAGACUUGGUGAGCAGAGUUUGGGAUUCCAUUUCUGGGCAAAGGAUACUGUGCCUAUCACAGAUUCCACACAUAAGUGAUAUGAUGCUUGUCUUUGACUUCUGUCACUUAGUAGGAUCAUCUGUAGGUCCAUCCGUGUUGCUGCACACGGCAUUACUGCAUUCUUUUUUAUGUCUGCUUGAAACAAGACAAUUCAGGAAAACCUGAGAGGAUGGAGUUAAAACGGAUCCAAACAGCACAGGCAUUUGAGAACCCGAGAUUUCAAAGCGGUGCCGACGCACAAGGCAAGAUGAUGUUUACGAUCCAUCACGGGUUCCUGAAACGCUUAAAGAGAGUGAUGAAUCUGGAAUGGAUGUUUGGCAACACCCUCGAGAAAGCAGUGUUUCUCCUGAUACACCUGCUCUGAUUAUUUGCUCACGUGGCUGCACAGAUGAGCCUGCAAGGGACAGAGGAGUCCAGGGUGGCUGGAUCAGGGCAUCUAAUGCAUGGAACCUCUGAAGACUUUGUUUGACCAAAGAGUGUCUUGGCAUUGGUUGGUCUUCUGGUGUUGGUUGUUACCGUGAGGUUUUGAAAGUCACCCCUUCUGCAACAAGGCAUUUCAGGAAAGGAAACAGGAUUCUUGUAUACAGUAAGAAAAAAAAAA
rnacentral:lncRNA from 1 species